CGCCGGAAAAUUCAACUCCGAUGGUUAAAGACAAAACCUUUGAAUCUCCGGUCGUAAACGGAACCAACCCAGUUGCCAAAAACAGUACUUUACAAUCACCGGCGCCGGAAAGUCGAACUCCGGUUGCUAAAAACGCAACCUUUGUAUCUCCGGUCGUAAACGGAACCAACCCAGUUGCCAAAAACAGUACUUUGCAAUCACCGGCGCCGGAAAAACGAACUCCGGUUGCUAAAAACACAAC
rnacentral:lncRNA from 1 species